UACAGAGGUCUCAAGCGUUGUUCGGAUUCAUUGGGCGUAAAGGGUGCGUAGGCGGGUCUUUAAGUCAGGGGUGAAAUCCUGGAGCUCAACUCCAGAACUGCCUUUGAUACUGAAGAUCUUGAGUUCGGGAGAGGUGAGUGGAACUGCGAGUGUAGAGGUGAAAUUCGUAGAUAUUCGCAAGAACACCAGUGGCGAAGGCGGCUCACUGGCCCGAUACUGACGCUGAGGCACGAAAGCGUGGGGAGCGAACAGG
rnacentral:rRNA from 1 species